CGAUCCUCCCACCUCAACCUCCCACGUGGCUGAGACUACAGGUGGGACCAUCCAGUUGCAGGAAAACAAGCUUGACACGCCCACUAAUUCUACAUUAUGCUCCUACCUCCCGGCAGCCUCUCCAGGCCCAGAACUUUCUCCAGUCAGCCUCUACAGACCAAGCUCAUGACUCACAAUGGCCUAUUUAGGCCCAUACCCUACGUCACGGCAGCCUCCGCAGAUGAGGCUACUGCCUCACAACAGCCUCCACAGGCACAGCUCCAUCGUUACAAUGGCCUCUUUAGACCCAGCUCCUGCCUCCCAGCCUUCUCUCCAGGCCCUGAACUUUCUCAAGUCGACCUCACCAGGCCCAGCUCAUGCUUCUUUGCAGCCUCUCCAGGCCCAGCUCCUGCAUCUUGGUGGCCCCUCCAGGCCCAGCCUCUGCCUCCCGUCAGCCUCUACAGUCCCAACGUCUGCCUCACAGCAGAUUCUUCACGCCCAGCAUCUACCUCACUGUGGACCCCCCAAGCCAAGCUCCCAACCUUUCAGCAGCUUCUACACACCCAGCUCCCGCCUGCCAGUGGCC
rnacentral:lncRNA from 10 species